rnacentral:rRNA from 1 species
AAUGAACGCUAGCGGGAGGCCUAAUACAUGCAAGUCGAGCGGUAGAAUGACUUCGGUUGCUUGAGAGCGGCGAACGGGUGAGUAACGCGUACACAAUCUACCUUUAAGAGGGGAAUAGCCCUGGGAAACUGGGAUUAAUGCCCCAUGGCAUCACGAAGUGGCAUCGCUUUGUGAUUAAAGCUGAGGUGCUUAGAGAUGAGUGUGCGUCUGAUUAGCUAGUUGGUGCGGUAACGGCGCACCAAGGCGACGAUCAGUAGGGGGCGUGAGAGCGUGGACCCCCACACGGGUACUGAGACACGGACCCGACUCCUACGGGAGGCAGCAGUAAGGAAUAUUGGUCAAUGGAGGAAACUCUGAACCAGCCAUCCCGCGUGCAGGAAGAAUGCCCUAUGGGUUGUAAACUGCUUUUAUCUGGGAAGAAAGUCGGCAUUUAUGCUGAUCUGACGGUACCAGAGGAAUAAGCACCGGCUAACUCCGUGCCAGCA